UAUAUCAUUUUUGUUGUGAUUUCGGAGUGAUGAUACAAUCAAGAUAAUUACAGUAUUAUUGAAUUGUGACUAUAUUUUUUAUAAAAAUGACCCAAGGGAAGAUAGUUUUAAUGGCUUGUGGCAGCUUCAGCCCACCAACUUACAUGCAUUUGCGUAUGUUCGAGAUCGCCAGGGAUUACAUUCACACGCUGGGCCUGGGCACGGUAGUCGGAGGGAUAAUGUCGCCCGUGCACGACAAGUAUGGCAAGAAGGACUUGGUGGCUGCACAUCAUAGGAUAUCCAUGUUAAAGCUGGCGCUGCGCUCGUCGGCGUGGAUCAAGGUGUCGGAGUGGGAGACGCAGCAGGAGGGCUGGACGCGCACCCGGCUCUCGCUGCAGCACCACCAGGACACAAUCAACCAGCACCUGUCGUCGAACCGCAGCGACGCCCCCUCGUGGCUGCCCGACGACAUGCUCAACGUCAACAGCCUGGACGAGACCGACAACCGGGUCACUCUCAACGGCAACCAUGAGACUGUGACGGUUAAGCUACUGUGCGGAGCGGACCUGUUGGAGUCCUUCGCUACGCCCGGCUUGUGGUCUGAGGACGAUCUGGAGACGAUCGUGGGGCGGCACGGGCUGGUGGUGGUGAGCCGCGCGGGCAGCGCGCCCGACAAGUUCGUCUUCGACUCCGACAUGCUGUACAAAUAUAGAAGAAACAUAACCCUAGUAACAAAUUACAUAGCCAACGAAGUGAGCUCCACCGUGAUCCGGCGCCUGGUGCGGCGGCGAGAGAGCGCCAAGUAUCUCACGGAAGACGCCGUGCUCGCCUACAUCCGCCACCACAGCCUCUACGGCGCCGCGCUCACAAGUACAGCGGCUGGAUAAUGAGACGAAGGUAUCUUCGUUAUUUUCGUCGUCGAGACAGAUAAUUACUAAUUUCUGGAGGCGGUUGCCCGCUGUAGCUGACGUGCUGCCCGCGCCCGCGGCGCGAGGCACUCUAGUCACCCCCGCAUGCUAAAUAAGGUCUAGUUUCCUACGGACGCUUCACUGACCAUUACUCAAACUGCUGGGGUAGUUAGAGUGAGAACAACCACAAUACAGGGUAGUUUUUUCAUCAGCCUCUGUGGAAAUGAGUCUUAACUAAUAUUUUCUAAUGGGCUUCUAUUUCUCUAUGGAAGGUAAUGGAAAAUAUGCCCGUUUGGAAACCAUACAAAAUUAUUCAAAACGUCCCUUAAUGGUCAAGUUAAGACGAACUCCGUUUUAGACCAUUUAUUUUUAAAUUUUCCUUGUAAGUUGACUAAUGGUCAGUGAAAUGCUUUAGAUGGUAUCGGUUCUGGGCUUGACUUUUGUGAUGACAAUAUUUACGACUAUAAUGAACCGCUUUACAUCUGAUGCGAAGGCUCCCUACGCUUCGUGUGCACAACAUUUUAAGGACUUUGGUGGAGAUCUACUAGUUGUUGUUCAUUUGCUAUGCACAAUAUUUAAGAAGGUUACACCAUUUCUUAGAUUUGUUACAAAACAAAUCACCCAAAUACAUCCUCAAGUCAAGCUCAGGAACCAGGUUGACAGUUUCCUUUAGGAAUGAUGUCACUAAAGUUCCUUAUUGCCUGUUACUUAAAUGUCUCAAAUAUAUUUAUUUUUCCAUUUAGACGACACCCAAUUGAAGGUAGUAAAUGUUUCAUUAAUUUCAUUAUUCAAAAUUAAUUAAGUCCUUCAAAGGAAAUCAAUCAUGCUCCUUGCGUUAUCCCUGCGUUCGCCACGGCUCGUGCUGGGAGCCUGGGGUCCACUUUAACAACUAAUCUAAUGAAACUAUGUUCAAUUGGGGUAAAUAUAAGGAAUACUUUUUUCCUAUUAGAUCCUUAAUUUUUACUUGUCAACUUCAGGGCUGCCGCAAAUAAGUCUGCCUGCUCAAUUUAAAUAAUCUAGCUUGGUAACAUUUACAAUUUGAGCAUAAUGUCUUGACUUGCUUCAUGAUAUUAAAUUAUAUCAUUCAAAACAUUCCGCGUAUUAUUAGUAAAGCCGACGCAGACGCAUUGCACCCAACUGCAACAAGUACAAGUUUGACCAAAAAGACUAGAAAUUAAAAAGUGGCAACAUCGUAGUGUCGUCCCGUUCUAUCACACAUAUUGAUUUGAAAGGGAUGACACGACAAUGUUGCCACUUUUUAAUUUCUACUGUUUUUGGUCAGACUCUACAUCUGUAUCGGCCCUUAGUAUUGUUGGUGGCCCUGAAUUCUAACUUUUAGAACUAAGUUAUUUUAUUGUAAUUUGGUAUGAGUGGGGCGCUGACGAAGAAAUAAGAGUUACGUACAGGUAACCAAUUUGAGUUUUAGAUCUCUGAAACUUUGAACAUUACAAUGAAGAUAUUAGUGUAAUCAUACCGAAUGAGAUCGGUUGUCAAGUUAUCGGUUGUUAGGCAGACAAACAAGAUUAUUUAAAUCAAUAUUAUCUCACGAUCCGGUCCCUGGUUGAUUGAAGGUUGCUGGUUCGUGUCCUGUCACGGUCGCCAAAUUAUGUUAGCGUUGUUAGUUAUAAACAGAAAGAGAUAAUAAGAUUAAUUUUGAACUGAAACUCACAUUGGUGGUGCUGGUCCGUAUGAUUAUUCCAUAGACUAUGUUAGUUCUGUGAGAGAUAUGUGUACCUUUUCAUAAAUUUUCGAUAGAUUAGCCAGACUGUGAUAGUUCGCAUGCAUUUAGUUAGACCAAUUAUUGAGAGUUCUGUGUCCUUUCGCUCCCAAUAUACCUACAUACUCGUACCACACUUAAAAAUGAAAUAAUAAACGAAGUCUACCGACACAAAUACAUAUUACUAUUUUUGAGUAUAAUUUUGAUUAAAAAUUUGAUACGUCUUGUAUGAGGUAUUUUGGGAACGUUUUCCAGACUUACCGUAAUGUAUGCCUGUUGCCUGUCUUGUACCUUUAGUCACUUAGAUUUUGUCAGCUGCUUACGAAACCUAGACUAAUUUGUAAAAUUUAUAGUUUUAUGAUUAUGAUAUUUUACGUUAAAAAUACUUCUU
rnacentral:misc_RNA from 1 species